AGCGAACGCUGGCGGCAGGCCUAACACAUGCAAGUCGAACGAACUCUUCGGAGUUAGUGGCGGACGGGUGAGUAACACGUGGGAACGUGCCUUUAGGUUCGGAAUAACUCAGGGAAACUUGUGCUAAUACCGAAUGUGCCCUUCGGGGGAAAGAUUUAUCGCCUUUAGAGCGGCCCGCGUCUGAUUAGCUAGUUGGUGAGGUAAAGGCUCACCAAGGCGACGAUCAGUAGCUGGUCUGAGAGGAUGAGCAGCCACAUUGGGACAGAGACACGGCCCAAACUCCAACGGGAGGAAGCAGUGGGGAAUCUUGCGCAAGGGGCGAAAGCCUAACGCAGCCAUGCCGCGUAACUGAUGAAGGUCUUAGGAUUGUAAAAUUCUUUCACCGGGGACGAUAAGGACGGUACCCGGAGAAGAACCCCCGGCUAACUUCGUGCCAGCCGCCGCGGUAA
rnacentral:rRNA from 1 species